GGUUCCGUAGCUCAGUUGGAUAGAGCAACAGCCUUCUAAGCUGUGGGCCGCGCGUUCGAAUCGCGCCGGAAUCACAA
rnacentral:tRNA from 1 species